rnacentral:rRNA from 1 species
UACGUAGGGUGCAAGCGUUAAUCGGAAUUACUGGGCGUAAAGCGUGCGCAGGCGGUUUUGUAAGUCUGUCGUGAAAUCCCCGGGCUUAACCUGGGAAUGGCGAUGGAGACUGCAAGGCUAGAAUCUGGCAGAGGGGGGUAGAAUUCCACGUGUAGCAGUGAAAUGCGUAGAGAUGUGGAGGAACACCGAUGGCGAAGGCAGCCCCCUGGGCCAAGAUUGACGCUCAUGCACGAAAGCGUGGGGAGCAAACAGG